rnacentral:lncRNA from 1 species
CUGCCACUUCCCAGGCGCCCUGGGCCUCCGCACUGUCCCGACCGAGCGCUCCGCGGAAGCCACGCGCGAACUCCGGGAAGGUGAUGGCGCCAUCGCGGUCCGUGUCGAGCCCCCUGAACACGGCCUCUGCUUCGGCCUCGGCCACGUGCAGCUCCGCGCACAACGCGCUGAACUCCGCACGCUCCAGGCGCCCGGAGCCGUUCGUGUCGUAGGUGGCGAAGACGGAGCGCAGCCGGGUCAGCUCCUCAGGGUCCGCGUCCGCCUCCAUGGCGCCGCUGGCCACCGCGGGGCUCCGAGCUCCGGGGCUCGGCCAGUGGAGCAGGUCCGGCCGGUUCCGCCACCUGCCGCGGGCGGGGAUGUCCGGGUGAGGCGGGGCGCAGGAGAGCCAGACGCUCGCCUCCAGCUGCAGCCGCCCGACUGCUGCCCUGAGCCACAGAGCGCCACUGGUCACCUUCCUGUGAGUAAGCUCCACCCUACCUUGGAGUAAAGACACAGGCUGGCUCCCAGACUUUCUUCUGCAACAGCUGGACCAUCUCUCUGUUAAGCUUUGGGGACUUGCUGGAGGCACAAACACAGAUCAUAAUGGCCUCUUAUUCAAGUUCUCCUCUGCACCCCAGAUACUGACCCUGCCUGCCUGAACAUGGAGUGCAAACACACCCGCACCGACCAAAGGGGGAAAGUGAGUAGAGAUAAGAUUCCAAAUUGGCUAAAGUUAUUGGCCAUGUAUCCUCUCGUAAUUCCAGACACAUGAGGAAACCGGCACAGCAUUGCCACAAUGGAAUGCAAAAUCAAUUUCAGGAAGGAGAGAUUUAUUAUAGUUUACAAGUCCACAGGAUACAAGCUAUCAAGAUUACGGAAAACUCAAUUACCCUGCUGCCUUAGAAGAAUGGAGGUAUUAUGUUAGAAGAAAGACAUACAACUCAGACCCAAAUGGCAUGUGGUAACAGUGGACUCAGACUGACAGUUACAAGUGUAACUUCACUCCUACAACUGCAGCAGACCAGCAAACUAAAUGUGUUUGGAAGAGGACAUGGAUACAAGAAGAUGAUGGAGUGCACACUGAGAACAAUAUGGUUUUGAAUAUGGCUCAGAAGGCCCUGGGUAUUUCAAUUUAAGUUUUGUGGUUAAAUUUUUGCUGAUUGAUCUGAAACACAUUUUGGUUUUGUUGAUUUUUCUAGAUAUUGAUUGAGGGGUUGAUAUGUUCUUA